UUACUUCUUCCCCUUUCUUCUCUGUUUCCUAGGUGACUGCUCUGUCAUGUACAAAAUGGAUGGACUGGAAAACGUCACGGUUCUUGAGACCAUUUCUAGUAAUGACAUCUAAAAUGAUGGUAGUAAUGCCAACCUGUAUGAGAUGCUGGAGGUGGAGCAGCCCCCUGGUAACCAUGAGGAACCCUUAUAGGUCAAAACCACAGACUGAGGAUAUUCUUGAUGAUAGCAUAGGGAUCCUGGUUCUCUGACAGCCUUGUGGUGCCGCUACACCACCCUGCAUAAUUUACUACAUGUUCUUCAUUUGGUUACUGCUCUCAGUGGCUAACUGAUGAAACACCCUACCAGGAAAUCUAUCCAAGAAUGAGCUCCUUGAGGUUACCUGUGUAAUCAGAUUAAGGGUGAUUGCACACCUACUGUCCAACACAACUAGUGUCCCUAUAAGAAGAGGGAAAUUUCAACACAGACACACUCACCCAGGACACAUGGAUAAGGCCAUGUGAAGAUGAGGGCCAAGGAACUAGAAGGAACUCCAAGGAUUGCCAGUCAUCCCCAUAAACUAAAAGAGAAGCAGGGAACAGAUUCUCCCUCAGAAGGAAGCAACCCUGCCAGCACCCUGAUCUUGGACUUCUAGCCUCCAGAACUGUGUGAACGUGGGUUUUAUUGACCAGCACAUAAUGGUCCUUCAGACUUGAAAAUUCUGAUCUUGUCCAAGUCUCAUUCCCUUCCUUGGACUUUAGAGCCUCCAUGAGUUGUCUCCACGGGUAACCUUUCUCCUCCCUCUAGACAAUCAUUUCCUUUUCCAAAUUUACUUCCUUGUCAGGGGUUGGGAGAGUUCCAGCCUGGAGCUUCUUCAGCACAACACCAUCUGGCUAUUUCCUUGAAAACUGAGUAUCCUCCUUGCCCUUUGCUGAGUGCAUCAAGUGAAGGACUGACUUACAGAAAUGCUGACUGGAGGACCUACUUUCCAGAGGGACGACUUGUUGAUUUAACACCCCACAAGCAGCCAGAUGAGCUGACAAAUGGGAUGACCUUGUACACAAAGACUGACUCUCGGGAAAAUGACUAAGGUAGAGGAAGUCUUAGCUGUUCUGUAACCAGUUCAUCAGGCGGCCUGAAAGUCCCCAGGCCUCACCAACGCCCCAUCACUGUGCAGGUCCCCCAGGGAUUCCCACCCCACCUCCUCGUCCUCACCAAGCUCUGCUCAGCAGGAGUGUCAGGGAGCAUGCAGGAGUCCACCCCGAGCCAGUGGGGCCUGAUGAUGCUCGUGGGAGCGGCUGGGACCCUGAGGAGCCACGAAGGGGAACCGGGUGAGUCUCCACUGUCUGCACAGCCCCAAACAAUUGAACAACCGUCCCUACUGGGCCCCUUGGGCUCCAGCGGCCCUUGGGAGAAUCCUCUUUGUCAAGCAGAGGUUCUAGACCCCUGCUAGACCUUGAGACUCCCGGUCUAAUCAGCUUUAAGGACACUCCUCCUUCAAGCCGGUACCUGUGGACAAGGAGGUGAUGGGCAGAUUGGAAGGCACUGAUCAAGGAUCAAAAUGCCAAGUGUGCUCCCCUUAGGGUCAAUCAGAAGUCACCUUGGUACCCUCUUGUUUCUUGUCCUGUAAUCAAGGCCUCUAUCGUGAACAAAGCAAGACUCAGCUUUCCAGUUUCACGCCCAAACCCGUCACUGACCUAUUCCUGUAAUAGGGGCGCAUCCGGUACGCCAGCCAUUAACUAUGACAGUAGUGGUCCUGCUCAGCCAUUGGUCCUCAUUGCAGCAAGCCACGCCCCCCAAGUGAGCAACCGUUAGUAGUCCCGCCCAGCCAUUGGUUGGAGCUGCAGCGGGCCCCUCCCCCAAGCCAGCUACUGUUAGUGAGCCACCAGUUAGGGGUCCCUGUCAGUCUUUGGUUGGAAUUGCAGUAGCACCCUCCCCUCCCCUUUCCCUGUAUAGAAGGAGCCUGGAAUUCAGACUGACGGAAGAUGUUUUUAUCUGCCGCACUAUCUGCCAUCUUCUUGGUCUGAUAUCUCCCUGAUUAAAGUCCUUAGUCCUUGCCCCAACAAUUCCAGAUUUGUUGGCUUGCCCUGUGGUGAGCAAAACAAGUUUGGGCUUGGUAACAAUUCUGACCAAGCCACCCAGGAGUCUUGCUGCUGUGAUCAGCGGCCCUGGUUGGGGAAUUUUCAGGUAAGGUAAGGCCCUAGCAGCUGCCAGGAACACUUGCCCUGAUAAUUUUCCUUUCAAAAUUCCCUGAAGCAGCACCAGCUUGGCGGUUGAAACAAGGAGUGGACAUGUGGGAGUCGUCGGGCUCCAUACAAUAGGAUAAGUGGCUUCAGUGUGUACAGCCAGGGAUAUUCUCCCUUCUCAAUUCUGACUUUUCCUUAAGGGAAAAGCCAACUGGUUUUGCAUUUGAUUGGGGUGCCUUGCUGGAGAUGGAAUUGUUGACCUCUGCUUGACUCGUGAACCGGUUGGUUUGCUUUUUGCAUUCAUUCAUGAUGGAAUCUGCUUGCCCUUUUGGUAUCGGAGCAUUUGCUGUGCUUUUUAUGUUCUGUUGUUUUCUUAACUUAUAAAUGUGGGGAAAAUAUCAUCUGUCCCUAAGGAAAGCCCUUUGGGGGCAUAUUUUUUUUAAUAAAUGGACAAAAUAUA